CUCGGUAUCUCUUCUCUUCCUCCGUCUCCCGACGACGGCGCCUUCCGCGGUUCUUCUCCCACCCUCCGGGGGAGGGCGCGCACCCGGCCUCCGCCGCCGACGCGGCCGACCUCCCUCCGGCCCUGGCCAAGCCGGAGCGCGAGGUGUCGGCGACGAGGGUUCCCUGACCACCCUGGCGAACAGGACAGGACGGAGGCGAGAAUCAAAGGCACGGCCAGAAAGAGGAGUUUGAGGUGUGGGACUGCUAUGCCCCGGCACAGCCAGCUGGACUGACUGACUGCCCUCCUUCUCGAGGCGGGACGCAAUCACGCAUACAAACAAAAGACUACCUCUUUCCAGCAGAAGAAGAUGGCCCUUCCUUCCUCUUCCUCUUGACUCACAGGUGGUACUCUAUCUACCUGCUUCCCAGCCCACCUGAGCCACCCCCCCCCCCCUUCACUUUACGCUCAAUUACAAUAAAUAAAUGAAUGACUACGAA